rnacentral:piRNA from 1 species
UAAAGGAUCACCACGAUGCCUGCAAUGUGU